UUAGGGUGUUAUAACAUCACAACCACAUCUAUGACCAACUCUAAGGUCACGUUAUUUUGUUUGGCAGUGUUUUGGAAUCAAGUUAUGGCAAAAUUUUAUGUAUAAAAUAUAACAAUUACAUUUAAAAAGUGCUUAUUUCUGACAAAAACUUGUAUUUUCUUAAGGGUUAGAUGCUGUUUCAUUACCCCCUCUGGUUCCCAAGAUACACCCUACAUCCAGGCACCAAAAUUAACUUGUAGCCCAUUAGUGCACCUAUCUUGUGAUACCAAGAUAUAGGUAUUUGGAUAAAAAUUGACAAAGUUAUAACAAUUAAAGUGAAAAAAAUAAUUAUUUUGACCACAGUUUCUUCAAUAAUUCCAUAUUCUUGCGGCGAACGUGACGUCACUUUAACUAACUAAACGGCUACCAUUAUGGUAUGGGGGCAAACAAAGCGCUUGAAAAUGAAGAAAUGUGUUUUUGAUUGUUCAAUUAAUGUUAAUAGUCAUCCGAACUUGAUUUGUUAUAUUUUGCUUCCUGAUCCAAAGAGAAGAAAAUCGUGGCUUUAUGCUUUAUAUAAAACUGAUUCAUCUUGCAAAAACAAACUUUGGUCGCAAAACAUGUCUAAGUAUGCUCAAAACAUUUGUAUCUGAAUAUUAUGUACAAAUAAGUCAUUGCAAUAAAUCUCAAGUUAUUAAAGUCAGUGAACAAAUAAGUACUGACAAUUCGUUGACUGGAGUGGAAGAUGUUAGUGUCUUGAACCAACAUGAAACAACAAGUUAACUUAGCUGAGAAUGAUGGUAGUUUAAAAAUAAUGCAGCAUUGGCUAGGAUUGUUCCUAGGUCACAAAAACAAUCUUAC
rnacentral:lncRNA from 1 species